CCAGACUCCUACGGGAGGCAGCAGUGGGGGAUAUUGCACAAUGGGGGAAACCCUGAUGCAGCGACGCCGCGUGGGCGAAGAAGUAUUUCGGUAUGUAAAGCCCUAUCAGCAGGGAAGAAGAAAUGACGGUACCUGAGUAAGAAGCACCGGCUAAAUACGUGCCAGCAGCCGCGGUAAUACGUAUGGUGCAAGCGUUAUCCGGAUUUACUGGGUGUAAAGGGAGCGUAGACGGUUAUGUAAGUCUGGAGUGAAAGCCCGGGGCCCAACCCCGGGACUGCUUUGGAAACUGUGUAACUAGAGUACAGGAGGGGCAGGCGGAAUUCCUGGUGUAGCGGUGAAAUGCGUAGAUAUCAGGAGGAACACCGGCGGCGAAGGCGGCCUGCUGGACGAUGACUGACGUUGAGGCUCGAAAGCGUGGGGAGCAAACAGGAUUAGAUACCCUGGUAC
rnacentral:rRNA from 1 species